rnacentral:rRNA from 1 species
UACGAAGGGGGCUAGCGUUGCUCGGAAUUACUGGGCGUAAAGGGUGCGUAGGCGGGUCUUUAAGUCAGGGGUGAAAUCCUGGAGCUCAACUCCAGAACUGCCUUUGAUACUGAGGAUCUUGAGUUCGGGAGAGGUGAGUGGAACUGCGAGUGUAGAGGUGAAAUUCGUAGAUAUUCGCAAGAACACCAGUAGCGAAGGCGGCUCACUGGCCCGAUACUGACGCUGAGGCACGAAAGCGUGGGGAGCAAACAGG